GGAGAUAUAGCUCAAUGGUAGAGUGCUUGCCUAGCAUGCAUGAGACCUGGGUUUGAUACUCAUGACCCCC
rnacentral:tRNA from 1 species